GCCCGAGGACCCGGAGACCAGAUUGGUGACCUGCUACCCUCAGCGAGUGGCUGGGAGCCGGAAUUCCCGGGACUUAACCCCACCAGGAGCCCGGGGGUCCCGAUGGCAUAGCAGCUGCUACCUCGGGAAUCACACAGCAAUACACAGUGCAGAGGGGACUUGCAUGGAUCAAGCCAGCCAGCUACAGAGUGCAGCUCUGAAAACAUCCUAAUGGAAUUGUUAAUAAAAGAAAGAAAAUGUCA